GGGGUUGUGGCUCAGUGGUCGAGCGCUCACAUGGCAUGUGCGAGGCCCUGGGUCCAAUCCUCAGCACCACA
rnacentral:tRNA from 1 species